GUCCCGCAUUGGCGCAGCCUGGCACUCCACUUGCGUCAUCUCUCGGUGCCGCCCUUGAGAUGGGGGCAUUUCUUGUCAAGAUCUUGCAGUCGACUCUCUGUAGCUUGGAGAAGAGAAGGAACUCUCUUCCUGGGCCCCAGAGAAGUUUGGGCCCACUGUCGUCCCCUCCCUGACUCUAAGAAAUUAAGAAGAUUAGGUCGAAAAACUCUCGGAUUGCCAGGUGUGGUGGCACAGGCCUGUAGUCCCAGCUCUCAGGAGGCUGAGGCAAGAGGAUUGUUUGAGCCCAGGAGUCCGAGUCCAGCCUGGGGAACAAGACCCCAUCUCUAAAAAAAAAAAAAGCCCUAGAACAUAAACAAAAACGCCU